rnacentral:tRNA from 1 species
GCCCGGGUGCUGGAACUGGUAUACAGGGAAGGCUUAAAACUUUCUGGAGCAAUCCAUGUGGGUUCGACUCCCACCCCGGGCA